GACGAACGCUGGCGGCGUGCUUAACACAUGCAAGUCGAACGGAAAGGCCCUGCUUUUGUGGGGUGCUCGAGUGGCGAACGGGUGAGUAACACGUGAGUAACCUGCCCUUGACUUUGGGAUAACUUCAGGAAACUGGGGCUAAUACCGGAUAGGAGCUCCUGCUGCAUGGUGGGGGUUGGAAAGUUUCGGCGGUUGGGGAUGGACUCGCGGCUUAUCAGCUUGUUGGUGGGGUAGUGGCUUACCAAGGCUUUGACGGGUAGCCGGCCUGAGAGGGUGACCGGCCACAUUGGGCCUGGGGUACGGCCCAGACUCCUACGGGGGGCAGCAGGGGGGAAUAUUGCACAAUGGGGGGAAGCCUGAUGCAGCAACGCCGCGUGCGGGAUGACGGCCUUCGGGUUUGAAACCGCUUUCGCCUGUGACGAAGCGGGAGUGACGGUAAUGGGUAAAGAAGCACCGGCUAACUACGUG
rnacentral:rRNA from 1 species